AUUGAACGCUGGCGGCAUGCCUUACACAUGCAAGUCGAACGGUAACGCGGGGCAACCUGGCGACGAGUGGCGAACGGGUGAGUAACACAUCGGAACGUGCCCAGUAGUGGGGGAUAGCCCGGCGAAAGCCGGAUUAAUACCGCAUACGACCUAAGGGUGAAAGCAGGGGAUCGCAAGACCUUGCGCUAUUGGAGCGGCCGAUGUCAGAUUAGGUAGUUGGUGGGGGUAAAAGCCUACCAAGCCGACGAUCUGUAGCUGGUCUGAGAGGACGACCAGCCACACUGGGACUGAGACACGGCCCAGACUCCUACGGGAGGCAGCAGUGGGGAAUUUUGGACAAUGGGCGCAAGCCUGAUCCAGCCAUGCCGCGUGCGGGAAGAAGGCC
rnacentral:rRNA from 1 species